rnacentral:rRNA from 1 species
AUUGAACGCUGGCGGCAUGCCUUACACAUGCAAGUCGAACGGUAACGCGGGGGCAAUCCUGGCGACGAGUGGCGAACGGGUGAGUAAUACAUCGGAACGUACCCAGUAGUGGGGGAUAGCUCGGCGAAAGCCGGAUUAAUACCGCAUACGACCUAUGGGUGAAAGCGGGGAGUCGCAAGACCUCGCGCUAUUGGAGCGGCCGAUGUCGGAUUAGCUAGUUGGUUGAGGUAAAGGCUCACCAAGGCUACGAUCCGUAGCUGGUCU